UUGACAAAUAAGGCAAAUUCAUUAUUAAAGAAAAAAAUAAUAAAAUUUUCAUAUG
rnacentral:tRNA from 1 species